rnacentral:rRNA from 1 species
CGAUUCUUGGUCAUUUAGAGGAAGUAAAAGUCGUAACAAGGUUUCCGUAGGUGAACCUGCGGAAGGAUCAUUCAUAAUAAGUGUUUUAUGGCACUUUUUAAAUCCAUAUCCACCUUGUGUGCAAUGUCAGUCGACUUUCUUUAUGGAGAUCGGCCAAACAUCAACCUAAUUUUUUAACUCUUUGUCUGAAAAAUAUUAUGAAUAAAAUAAUUCAAAAUACAACUUUCAACAACGGAUCUCUUGGCUCUCGCAUCGAUGAAGAACGCAGCGAAAUGCGAUACGUAAUGUGAAUUGCAGAAUUCAGUGAAUCAUCGAAUCUUUGAACGCAUAUUGCGCUCUUUGGUAUUCCGAAGAGCAUGCUUGUUUGAGUAUCAGUAAACACCUCAAAACUUUUUCUUAUUUUUAAGAAAAAGUUUUGGACUUGAGCAAUCCCAACACCAAUCUUUUUUAGAUCGGCGGCGGGUUGCUUGAAAUGCAGGUGCAGCUGGACAUUCUCCUGAGCUAAAAGCAUAUUUAUUUAGUCCCGUCAAACGGAUUAUUACUUUUGCUGCAGCUAAUAUAAAGGGAGUUUGACCGUAUUGGCUGACUGAUGCAGGAUUUCACAAGGGUCGGCAACGAUUCUUGUAAAACUCGAUCUCAAAUCAAGUAAGACUACCCGCUGAACUUAAGCAUAUCAAUAAGCGGAGGA